GCUCGAUGGCCACAAUGAACCAGAUGUUGUCAACUACAUGGAGGACAUCUAUAAGUACUACAAGGCAGCACUGGCUAUUCUUUUCCCCAGGUUCUUAUUGAUCUCUUCUUUGCAUGAGCUUCUGAACACACAUCUAAUGCUUCUAAGAAGCAAAUUCCAUACUCUAGUAGUGACUUGCUUUCCGGUGUUUUGGUGGGAGAAAAUUUUCAGAAGCCAAGUUGUGCUAGACAUAGAUAUACUACGC